UGUAGCCUGCCCUGCAGCCCAACGGACAUCACUGGAGACCUCCCGGAGUGCUCGGGGCACUGCUUGGCUAAACCUGGUGAGAACAUCUUUCCGGAGCUGAAUCGGCAGUUGCACAAUGAAGUCUUGCAGUUUAGAUCUGAUUCAAUCCAUUGAAUCUCAGGACCUCUUCAGGGAAUUCUGUCAGUAAUGGGGAUUUAACAAAGAUCCAGUGUCUGCUUAUACAGCUGUGCACCACAAUUCUGAAAGUUACUGAAGUCAGAAGCUUGUCGGCAGCUAUGAAUUGUGGAGACCCUCGGCAGACCGGUCCCGUGAACAAUCCUCCUAUGGUAAGGAACUGGUCUACUCUAUGCUGCUUUUAAAGGGGUUGUCCAGGUGCAGGGCUGAUCCUGGAUAGAGGCUCCCCUUUACCUUUUAAUGGUGGAGUAUUGAAGUAAGGAAAUAUCCGCUGCUCCAUUCGUACAUGGUGAAGGGGAGCUAAUGUCCAGCCCUGAACCUGAUGACCCUUCAAGUUGUGUGGGGUUGAAUGAUGACAAUUACCUUGAACUCUCUCACUGAUAUAAAGAUGAAACCUCAAGUACUGACUCCCCAGCUAAAGCAAUUCUCUAAAGCAGUCAGUAUAACUUGAAGCAUCACACUAACAUUUUAUUUUUUUCCCAAUUUAAAGGAACUUAAGAUCGUUGGUCAUCGGGAUCAAAGGACCAUCAUUGAUACCAUGUGCAAUAUCUGACUUUAUUUCACGUGUUUAUAAUAAACCUGUCAUGAUUUAAACUUGUGUUUGUAUUGUAC